CGGACCUUAGCUCAGUUGGUAAAGUGGUGGACUGUACUGGUCAAUGAUCCACAGUCCACAGAUAAUCCUUAGGUUGCUGGUUUUAAUCCAGCAGGUCAGA
rfam:Beta vulgaris subsp. vulgaris chromosome 8, whole genome shotgun sequence.